rnacentral:rRNA from 1 species
AUUGAACGCUGGCGGCAUGCUUUACACAUGCAAGUCGAACGGCAGCGCGGGCUUCGGCCUGGCGGCGAGUGGCGAACGGGUGAGUAAUACAUCGGAACGUGCCCAGUAGUGGGGGAUAGCUCGGCGAAAGCCGGAUUAAUACCGCAUACGACCUGAGGGUGAAAGCGGGGGAUCUUCGGACCUCGCGCUAUUUGAGCGGCCGAUGGCAGAUUAGCUAGUUGGUGGGGUAAAGGCCUACCAAGGCGACGAUCUGUAGCUGGUCUGAGAGGACGACCAGCCACACUGGGACUGAGACACGGCCCAGACUCCUACGGGAGGCAGCAGUGGGGAAUUUUGGACAAUGGGCGAAAGCCUGAUCCAGCAAUGCCGCGUGUGUGAUGAAGGCCUUCGGGUUGUAAAGCACUUUUGGCGGGAACGAAAAGGACUGUGCCAAUACCACGGUUCGAUGACGGUACCCGAAGAAUAAGCACCGGCUAACUACGUG